rnacentral:sRNA from 1 species
AAACGCUUCUUCUCCCUCACUCUCCCAAUUCCCAGUUUCCUAGAAGGGGAAAAUAUGUUUUAGGUCUGGCUCUUCCAGAAGAGGAAGAUAAGUUUUAGGUCAGGCUCUUCUAGAAGAGGAAAAUAGAUUUUAGAUCCAGCUCUUCUAGAAACGGAAGAUAUGUUUUAACUCUGCCUUUUCUAGAAGGAGAAGAUACAUUUUAGGUCAGGCUCUUCUAGAAGGGGAAGAGACGUUUUAGAUCUGCUUUUUUCUAGAAGGGAAAGAUAUGUUUUAGAUCAGGCUUUUGUAGAAAGGGAAGAUAUGUUUUAAGUAGAUAUCUUGUAGAGGGAAAGAUAUGUUUUAGAUCAGGCUCUUCUAGAAAGGGAAGAUAGGCUUUAGAUCUGCCUGUUCUAGGCUGGGCAUGGUGGCUCAUGCCGGUAAUCCCAGCACUUUGGAAGGCUGAGGCAGGAGGAUCACCUGAGGUCAGGGAGACCAGCCUGGCCAACAUGGUGAAACUGCAUCUCAACUAAAACUACAAAAUUAGCUGGGUGUGGUGGCACAUGCCUUUAGUCCCAGCUACUCGGGAGGCUGAGACAGGAGAAUCGCUUGAACCUGGGAGAAAAAAAAGAUCUACCUGUUCUAGAAGGGGAAGAUACAUUUUAGAUCAGGCUCUUUCAGAAGUGGCAGGUAUGUUUUAGAUCAGUGUAUUCUAGAAGGGGAAGAUACAUUUUAGAUCUGUCUCUGAACCUUGAUAGAAAAGCACACCUUGGCCAGGUGUAUCCCAUCACUUUGGGAGGCUGAGGCGGGUGGAUCACUUGAGGCCAGGAGUUCCAGACUAGCCUGGUCAACAUGGUGAAACCCCAUCUCUAUUAAAAAUACAAAA